rnacentral:piRNA from 1 species
UUCCUAGAUUGUUCCCACAUG